UACGUAGGGCGCAAGCGUUAUCCGGAGUUAUUGGGCGUAAAGAGCUCGUAGGCGGUUUGUCGCGUCUGCCGUGAAAGUCCGGGGCUCAACUCCGGAUCUGCGGUGGGUACGGGCAGACUAGAGUGAUGUAGGGGAGACUGGAAUUCCUGGUGUAGCGGUGAAAUGCGCAGAUAUCAGGAGGAACACCGAUGGCGAAGGCAGGUCUCUGGGCAUUAACUGACGCUGAGGAGCGAAAGCAUGGGGAGCGAACAGG
rnacentral:rRNA from 1 species